UGGCCAUUGGGACGCCUGGGGAGACUUGCCAAGCUGCCAAAAUAUUUGGACACCCAAAUGCUAGUGUUCAAACGCAUUUCUCCAUCAGGAUUCUGACUUCAUCCUCCUACUGCAUAUUUCUGCACCAUGUCCUUGCUUUCUGUCCUUGCAUCGUGACGCGUACCGGUGCGGCUUCGUGCCCCAUCGGAGAUGGUUAUCAGCACAAUGAUUUAAUGCCAAGCAAUGCAAGCAGGCAGUGUAAUGUCAGUGCUAUCUCUGCUCUCACCCCUCCAGCACUUUCAUAUCCUGCCGUGGUAACGCAAAGGAUUAAAGCAAAGAUGGGAGUGCUGAUGGAAGGGAGUGGUGUUGAUCUCAUCUCGUGUGCUGGUCCCACACUCCGCACCCAUUACAAUGAAAGAUCUUGUUCUGCAAGCACCACGGCUGAAAUAAAGAUGAGACAAGACAAACCACUAUGCAAUCAAUUAGGAUGCACGUCCUGAGGAAAAAAAAGGGACUGUUCUUUGGCUGUCUGGGAUUUUGAGGACAAUCAGCUGCCACCUGGGAUUAAAAAGGGAAUUUAAUCCAUUUAGGAGUGGGGUUUUGUGAUGGAGUGGUUCCUUGAGGGGACAUCCCCUCAGGGUAGGUUUACUGGCCCCUCAACAUGGAUGCUGGCCCCAUCCCAAAGCAGGAGCUGAGCCUCUCAGGCUGUCCCCAGUGAUAUGGGGAUGUGCAAAGCUG
rnacentral:lncRNA from 1 species